AUCGAUGAAGAACGCAGCGAAAUGUGAUAAGUAAUGUGAAUUGCAGAAUUCAGUGAAUCAUCGAAUCUUUGAACGCACCUUGCGCUCUAUGGUAUUCCGUAGAGCAUGCCUGUUUCAGUGUCAUGAACUCUUCAACCCGCCCUUUUCUUUAUGAUCAGGUGUCGGUGCUUGGAUUCUGAGCUCUUGCUAUUUGUUUAGCUGGCUCGUAAGACAUUAGCAUUUCAAAUUCGUAAUCGGAUUGACUUGGCGUAAUAGACUAUUCGCUGAGGACACUUUUAUAGUGGCCGAGACAAGAAGAGAGAAGCUCCCAACCCCUCUAGUCAAUUUUUAAGAUUAGACCUGAAAUCAGACAGGAUUACCCGCUGAACUUAAGCAUAUCAAUAAGCGGAGGAAAAGAAACUAACAAGGAUUCCCCUAGUAGCGGCGAGCGAAGCGGGAAGAGCUCAAAUUUGUAAUCUGGCACCUUCGGUGUCCGAGUUGUAAUCUCGAGAAGUGUUUUCCGCGCCAGACCGCAUACAAGUCUGUUGGAAUACAGCGUCAUGGUGGGUGAGAACCCCGUAACUGAUGCGGAUGCCUGGUGCUUUGUGAUACACUUUCGAAGAGUCGAGUUGUUUGGGAAUGCAGCUCAAAUUGGGUGGUAAAUUCCAUCUAAAGCUAAAUAUUGGCGAGAGACCGAUAGCGAACAAGUACCGUGAGGGAAAGAUGAAAAGCACUUUGGAAAGAGGGUUAACAGUACGUGAAAUUGUUGGAAGGGAAACGCUUGAAGUCAGACUUGCUUUUUGGAGUUCAGCCGCAAGGUGUAUUCUUCAGUUGGCAGGCCAGCAUCAGUUUUUGGGGGUGCAAAAGCGUUAGGAGAAGGUAGCAGUCUCGGCUGUGUUAUAGCUCUUAACUGGAUUCACCUUUGGGGACUGAGGAACGCAGCGCGCUUUUUGCAAGGUCUUCGGGCCUUUCGCGCUUAGGAUGCUGGUGGAAUGGCUUUAAACGACCCGUCUUGAAACACGG
rnacentral:rRNA from 1 species